rnacentral:rRNA from 1 species
GACAGAGGGUGCAAACGUUGCUCGGAAUCACUGGGCGUAAAGGGCGUGUAGGCGGGAAGGAAAGUCAGAUGUGAAAUCCCUGGGCUCAACCCAGGAACUGCAUUUGAAACUCCCUUUCUUGAGUACCGGAGAGGAAGGUGGAAUACCUGGUGUAGAGGUGAAAUGCGUAGAUAUCUGGAGGAAUACCGGUGGCGAAGGCGGCAUCCUGGACCGACAUUGACGCUGAUGAGCGAAAGCUAGGGGAGCAAACGGG